rnacentral:rRNA from 1 species
AGUGAACGCUGGCGGUAGGCCUAACACAUGCAAGUCGAACGGCAGCACAGUAAGAGCUUGCUCUUACGGGUGGCGAGUGGCGGACGGGUGAGGAAUACAUCGGAAUCUACUUUUUCGCGGGGGAUAACGUAGGGAAACUUACGCUAAUACCGCAUACGACCUACGGGUGAAAGCAGGGGAUCUUCGGACCUUGCGCGAUUGAAUGAGCCGAUGUCGGAUUAGCUAGUUGGCGGGGUAAAGGCCCACCAAGGCGCCGAUCGGUAGCUGGUGUGAGAGGAUGAUCGGCCACACUGGAGCGGAGCCACGGACCAGACUCCUGCGAGAGGCAGCAGUGGGGAAUAUUAGACAAUGGGCGCAAGCAUGAUCCAGCCGUACCGCGUGGGUGAAGAAGGCGUUCCGGUUGUAAAGCCCUUUUGUUGGGAGAGAAAAGCAGCAGGUUAAUACCCCGCUGUUCUGACGGUACCCGAAGAAUAAGCACCGGCUAACUUCGUG